AAAAAAUUCGAAACCGUACGGCGGAAAAUGUUACUAAUUUAGGGUCCUUUCUCCGCCAUUCCCUAACUGUAAGUCGAAUCCUUUAGUCGUCUUCCUCCUCCAUUCCCUAACUGUUCAAUCAACCCACUCCAUUUUGGAAUCGUGGCUCCGUUGCCGAUCAUUUCCAACUGCAUAAGCACCCAUGGAGACUUCCUGCAACAACACAAACUCCUUCUGCAACUACUGCGAGCAUGCUCAAGGGUUCAGUCCCUUAGAGCAACAAAACCACUCCAUGCUCUCACCAUCACAAUGGGUCCAUCUCCAACCCAACCCAUUUUUGUUUACAACAACAUCUUGUCCCAGUAUUUUUCACUUGGCGAAUUGUCAGUUGCACGUCAAUGGUUUGACAAAAUGCCUGAUAGAAAUGCUGUAUCAUAUAAUAUCAUAAUUAGUGCUUACAGUAGAUGCGGGUGCGUAAGGGAAGCUUGGCGAAUGUUUUCUGAGAUGAGGUGUUAUGGGUUUGAGCUAACUCAAUAUGUGUUUGGUGGGUUGUUGACAUGUGGGUCAUUGGAUGUUUAUCAUGGGGUUCAGUUGCAUUCUUUGGUAAUGAAGAAUGGUUUGUUUGAUGUUGAUGCUUUUGCAGGGACUUCUUUGUUAAGUUUUUACGGAAGGCAUGGGUUGUUAAAGGAAGCGGUUUGGGCAUUUGAGGAUAUGCCUUGUAAGAGCUUGGUCACAUGGAAUUCAAUGAUAUCCAUGCUUGGGAAUCAUGGGUUUGCUGAUUAUUGUGUGGUGUUAUUUCGAGAACUUGUGAGAAAGAGUUAUACUUUGUCUGAAGGUUCUUUUGUGGGUAUUCUUUCAUCAUUUUCAUGCCAACAAGACUUGGGAUUUGGGGAACAACUGCAUUCUUUAGCCAUAAAGAAUGGGUUUAAGUGUGAAGUUCUUGUGGUGAAUUCUAUUAUGAGUAUGUAUGUGAAAUGCACCGACAUAUGCUCGGCUGAGAAGGUUUUGGAUGAGGUUACUGUUCAGGAUGUUGUAUCAUGGAACACUAUCAUUGGUGCAGUAGCGAAAACUGAGAGAUCUUGGAAAGCACUCGAACUCUUCUCUAAAAUGUCGAUGGAUGGAGUAUUGCCUAGUGAGAUCACAUUUGUUAGUCUUAUAUACUGUUGUAACCAUUUGGAGAUGCCGUGCUAUGGUGAGUCCUUUCAUGCUAAGACAAUCCAAAAUGCUUUUGAAUCUAAUGUUUUUGUAGGUAGUGCACUGAUUGACUUUUAUACCAAGUGUGAUAAUUUGGAAAAUGCCCAUCGCUGUUUUAAUGAGAUAUAUGCGAAAAAUGUGGUUUCCUGGAAUGCUUUGAUUUGGGGAUACUCUAAUAUCUAUUCGCCUGCUUCUAUAUUCUUAAUGCAAGAAAUGCUUCAUUUGGGUUACCGACCAACUGAGUUCACGUUUUCAGCUGUUCUUAAGUCGUCAUUGGCAUUAGAAGCACAACAACUUCAUUGCUUAAUUAUAAGAAUGGGCUUUCAGGAAAAAAAGUAUGUCUUGGACUCUCUUAUAACCUCAUAUGCCAAGAAUGGUCUCAUAUCUCAUCUGCUGGUCUUUCUCACAGCUUCUGCUGAUGGUCUGCUUGCUGCUGUUCCUUGUUAUGUCAUUGCUGGAAUUUGUAAUGGAACCAAGCAAUAUGAUGAUACUCCGAAAUUACCUACGGUUCUUGAAAAACUUGACCUUGUAUCCUGGAACUGUGUGAUUGGAGCUUUUGCCCGCAGUGACUAUUACAAGGGGGCAUUUGAGCUUUACAAAUGGAUGCAGUGGUAUCAAGUCCUACCAGACAAUUAUACGUUUGUUAGCCUUCUAAGCAUCUGUGCUAAACUGUGCAACUUUUCUUUGGGCAGUUCUCUUCACUGUUACAUCGUUAAGACUAAUUUCAAUUGUUGUGACACAUUUGUAUGCAACAUGUUAAUUGACAUGUAUGGGAAAUGUGGUAGCAUCGGCAGCUCAGUGAAGAUCUUUGAAGAAAUGGAAGACAAAAAUCUAUUCACAUGGACAGCUCUGAUUUCUGCACUUGGAUUUAACGGUCAUGCUCUUGAGGCAAUAAAAAGAUUUAGAGAAAUGAUUCUCUUCGGCUUGAAGCCGGACGUAGUGACUUUUGGCGCUAUGCUUACGGCUUGUAGGCAUGGUGGGUUGGUGACAGAUGGGAUCAAGUUAUUGGGGCAGAUGAAAAAGGAUUAUGGGGUUGAACCAGAAAUGGAUCAUUACCAUUGUGUGGUGGACUUACUGGCUAAAAGUGGACAUGUUAGGGAAGCAGAGAAGGUGAUUUUCAACAUGCCCUUCCCACCAAAUGUCGUUAUAUGGCGUAGUUUCUUUGAGGGCUGCAAGAGUUAUGGAGCUGAUACAAAACAAGCCCCGUAAAGCAAGUUCGCAAGUAAUUUUUUGUUUUACAAACUUCUUCAACAUUGCUUAGAGAAAGUAAAUCCAAGUUCAUGUCUGCUGUGAUAUCUUAUUCGAGUCAUAAACAUUGUCACUUACUCACUUACCCCUCUCAAUGUGCCCCCUCCAGUCUCUAGGAUCUCCCUCCAGCAACCCUUUCCCCUCACCUUGCCUCCUUUCUCACCUAUUGCAAAGUGGCCGUUCAUAAGUGGCUACAUGGUCAUUGUCAUUACUUGCCUUUUGUACGAUUUGAGAUUUUUCUCAAGUGAUUUUGCAUGCAACUUUUAGGAGUUUAACAAAUAAUUUAAGUGUUAGCAACUUAUGUUUUAUUCUGCACCUUCAUCAUUCAGAUUCUGAUUCACAUAUAAAACCAAAAAUCUAACAUGGUAUCAGAGCCUGGGCAUCGAUUUUGUGAAGUUUUGUGAAUUGAGUCACAACAAUAUCUCAUUGCAGUGAAACUUUAAUUGUGUAAAGAUCUGAGUCUAACAUGGCUAGGUCUGGUGGAGGAGAGCUAAGAGCAUCGAUUUCAACGGCAACAAUUUUGAUUUCUGGCAAAUCAAAAUGAAGAUCAUCUUCCAUCCCACAUGGAAUCUAGUCGAGAAGGGCUUCAAUACUCUGGUGAAGAAGGAGAAGGAGCUCUCGGCAAUGGAGAGCAAGCUACUGCAAGAGAAUCUUGUCAAGGAUGCAAGAGCACUUGGUAUUAUCCAAGGAGCUGUUUCCGAUCAGAUUUUUCCACAGAUUGCAGCUCAGGAGACUGCAAAGGCAGCCUGGGAUAUCCUGAAGCAAGAGUUCGUCGGAGACAAACAAGUGAGGUUUACAUGUUGUGGUGACCAUGUUUACCGGAUAUUUGGUAGGAUAUGCUGCAUUCAGAGCUUUGUUUAACCACAGUCCCGUCAUGAAUGCUGCUGGUGGCAUUCUUGGAUUGGUCAUUGGCAUGCUCGUGGAAACAUUUGUUUUCAUAAUUAGAACUUCUAGUCAAGAUCUUAGAUCAUCUUCUUCCACAUUGAAGCUAAAGAAGAAUCAGUAGACUUGGUCUUUAGAGGUCAUUUGAUCCAACAGUUAUAAAUUGAUAGGUGUGUGAGAAGUAAAUAUGGGUGUGUGGGUAGCACUACCCAUUCGACUAGCAUCUUUUCACCAUUUUCGCACCCAAAACACUGUUGCUGCUCUGUUUCCUAUUUUGCUCCACAACUGUAGGAAAUAUUUCAGGAAUUUUUGGGUGAUUAAAGCUUAACAUUUUUCUUGUACUGGAUUUUGUUUUGAAUUAGUUGGAACUCUCAUGACGGGGCUGCCCGGUUGUUAGGCUCAAUCUCAGGUCCUUGCUCAAACCUGCAAAUAGCUUCAACAAUGGAAUAUUAUAUGGAAGGAGGAAGACGAUAGAGAGCAAUAGCUCUGGGAAUUGUUUUUGUAAUAUUAAUUCUUCAAUGAAAUGACCGUUGCCAAGCUA